rnacentral:misc_RNA from 1 species
ACGGAAGUUCAAGUUCAGAAUAAAUACGGAAAAGCAGGUAGGGUCGUUGACUCUGGUAUGACGACCUUAGGUGCUGCGAAACGCUCAUCAUGAAUGUCUCCCGCUUUUUGAUCGCUCUUGUUUUGGUCGUACCGCAUUUUUGUUUAGACAAUCGCAACCAAGAAAUUGAUAAGAAUAAUGAUAAGGCCACUAGAGAAUCAAGAUUGAGGAGGGCCAUCAUAAAAACGUCGUCUCCUGCUUUGUUACUGCUCUCGUUAUCCGUAGGAGCAAUAGCAACGUUUUACUUAUUAGAAUCUCCCCUCUCUCCGUUACCUCUUCUUCCCUUGCCCUAUCCACCGGUUGGCACUUAUCCACCCAAAGAAACGGUGGCUGCCGGAAGAAAUUUUGCCAAGAAUCAAUGGAUGCUGUUUACUAAACAUUGACAUUUGAUUAAAUAUCCGGGUAAAAUGUGAUAUUGAGAGGAUUCCGAAAGAAAAUACGAGAUUUAUAAUAACUAAAAUGUC